rnacentral:other from 1 species
AUUUAAAUACAUAUCAUGUUAUUGUUCAAC